GGAGACUCUGUGCGCGUGCAUAUCAAUAAGCGGAGGAAAAGAAACUAACUAGGAUUCCCUCAGUAACGGCGAGUGAAGCGGGAAGAGCUCAAAUUUGAAAUCUUCAAGGUUCUACCUUGACGAAUUGUAGUUUAAAGAAGUGUUUUCUGUUGGAGUUUUGGUAAAAGUUCUUUGGAAUAGGACAUCAUAGAGGGUGAGAAUCCCGUAUUUGGUCAUUCCUCCUAGCGUUGUGAUACACUUUCAACGAGUCGGAUUGUUUGGGAAUGCAGUCCAAAAUGGGUGGUAAAUUUCAUCUAAAGCUAAAUAUUGGCGAGAGACCGAUAGCGAACAAGUACCGUGAGGGAAAGAUGAAAAGAACUUUGAAAAGAGAGUUAAACAGUACGUGAAAUUGUCAAAAGGGGAGCGUUUGACACCAGUGUUGUUUUUCCGAAAAUCAAUUAAAAAUGAUGGGAUUUUGAGUAGUAUUGACUUCAUCAGCUUUCUGCACUUUCUUUUCUAUAUUAUUUAAUGCACUUUUCAGUUUAACAAGUCAACAUCAAUUUCUUUUGUUGUAAAAGAGUAAUAGGAAGGUGGCUUACUCUUCGGCGUAAAGUGUUUAUAGCCUUUUACCUCUGCAAUCGGAGAGAUUGAGGACAGCAGCGUAGACUCUUCGGGGUUAGAUACACUUGUGCUAAGCUAUAGCCUUGUAUAGACAACUUGUUGACUAUGCUCAGUCAUGUAGCUUACUCGCUUGUGCUAUUUUACCUACGCUUAGGAUGUUGAGUCGUAGAGCACGCAG
rnacentral:rRNA from 1 species